UUCGGCCAUAUCACGUCGAAACACCGGUUCUCGUUUGAUCACAAAAGGUAAGCAACAUUAAACUUAGUAUGUAGAUGGGUGACCGCUUGGCAAUACUAGGUGCCGUAAG